AUGGUGCCGCACGCCCGCAUCACCCCGAACGACAACACCGGCUUCUUCGAAUGGUGGACCACUACCAAUGUCCCGACAAGCCUACGCAAGGGCAUCAACUCCCUUGUAAUCCUCACCUCCUGGGCCAUAUGGAAGCACCACAAUGCCAUCCUCUUCGAUAACGCAUCACCCAACCACAACACCCUCCUAGACGACAUCAAGCAGGAGGAGAAUCUCUGGGCAAGAGCCGGCACCAAAGGGCUCGAUCGGAUUAUCCCUGUAACAUAA
rnacentral:rRNA from 1 species